rnacentral:rRNA from 1 species
UACGAAGGGGGGCUAGCGUUGCUCGGAAUCACUGGGCGUAAAGCGCACGUAGGCGGCUUUGUAAGUUAGAGGUGAAAGCCCGGGGCUCAACCCCGGAAUUGCCUUUAAGACUGCAUCGCUUGAAUCCGGGAGAGGUGAGUGGAAUUCCGAGUGUAGAGGUGAAAUUCGUAGAUAUUCGGAAGAACACCAGUGGCGAAGGCGGCUCACUGGACCGGCAUUGACGCUGAGGUGCGAAAGCGUGGGGAGCAAACAGG